CCUACGGUAGGCUGCAGUGGGGAAUAUUGCACAAUGGGGUAAACCCUGAUGCAGCCACGCCGCGUGAGUGAGGAAUUAUUUCGGUGUGUAAAGCUCUAUCAGCAGGGGAUAGAAAAGAAGGUACCUGAAAAAGAAGCCCCGGCUAAAUACGUGCCAGCAGCGGCGGUAAGACGGAGGGGGCAAGCGUUAUCCGGAUUUACUGGGUGUAAAGGGAGGGUAUACGGAAAGGCAAGUCAGAAGUGAAAACCCAAGGCUCAACCAUGGGACUGCUUUUGAAACUGUCAAACUAGAGUACGCGAGAGGUAAGAGGAAUUCCUAGUGUAGCGGUGAAAUGCGUAGAUAUUAGGAGGAACACCAGUGGCGAAGGCGUCAUACUGGACCGAAACUGACGUUGAGGCUCGAAAGCGUGGGGAGCAAACAGGAUUAGAUACCCCAGUAGUC
rnacentral:rRNA from 1 species